rnacentral:lncRNA from 1 species
UGGGGCCCCGGGCCACACCAUCAGGAAGUGAAGUGUCAUGACUGAGCCAGGCAGCUCCACCAGCUCUCUGGGUGCCUCUCCCUCUUCCGUAAGGCGGACAGGCCAGACCUGUGAAGCCGUCGUGAACUUGGAGGGAAAGUCCGUGUCAGAUCUGCUCCUUUCCCCAGAGGGCCGGCAAGACCCCGCACACUCUGGCCCUGCUCUCCCUGACAUAACGGUCCCCAGACCAGGCGGGAGGAGCAAGCCCAGACCCCAAGAUCCCGCAGCUGCGCACCUUGGGCUUAGCCUCCUCACCCGUUUCUGCAGGCGCCCUGGCUUCCCCAGAGGUGUUACUAGUUUGAACAAACCUCCCUCUUCAGAUGCUUUGUCUUAUGCUGCUCUGAAGCUUUUGCUGCUGGACACUGGCCUGAGUGCAGCCUCCUGGAGAUGGUUCCCUUGUGAAAAGAUGUUAUCUUGGGACCAGAGGAUUCUAAUGUGUCAGUUCUUCAAGCAUCUUGUACAUCAGACAGUCAGCCCUUCUCCUGUCAUGUUUCCCAUUGGAGACGAAGAGAUGUACCCCUGAUCCCCGCGUGAUGACUUCUCUUCCGAAAGGCUGCCUCUACCCCUUUGCUUGGGUUUUCUGAGAACUGCGAGAGUAUCUUUUGUGUGUGUGUGUUUGUAUUUUUUUAAGUAUAGUUGAUCGACGAUGUGGUGCCAGUGUCUGCUGUACAGCAAGCUGACCCAGUCAUACGUAUACACACAUUCUUUCUCUCGUGUCACCCCCAUCACCGUCUGUCCCGAGAGACUGGGUACAGUUCCCUGUGCUUAUGGCAGGACUUCAUUCCCCAUCCAUUCUAAAUGUAACAGUUUGCAUCUACUAACCUCAAACUCCCAGUCCAUCCCACUAUGUGUGAGCACCUUGAAUGCCACUAGAAUUCACAUCUUCUUACACAAGCUGACACCCGAGUCCCUGUGAGAACUCCACCGAUCAUCCCUCAAGCUCCAAAGGGGCUUCAAGAUGCCCCUGAAUGUCAGGGAAGGGACCCCAGGGCCCAGCACAGAGAUGUGGGCAGCAGGCAGUCUUCUGAUGGGCUGAAGCUUGGUGCUCAGCGUGCCAUCUCUUGGGCCACCCUGACUCCCGUGCAUUGCACUCAUUCCCAUAGAUGGGCAAAGGCUGAGGCCAGUCAGGGCUGAGGAAGGUCAAGCAGCACUUUGGGAAGAUGGGCCCUGCUGGGCCAACCUGUGGCGAAGGGGUGUGGAGGGUUCGCUUCUUAACCGGCAAGAUCCUCUCUGUAACUAACGAAAUGCAACAAUGUAUUAAAAACAAUACAGCAUGACCAAAGGAGCUUUGAAACACAAAUGCAGGGAUGGUUCAAUAGAUUAAAGAAAUUUCAAAACCUAGGAGUUCCUGUUGUGGUUCAGAGGUAAUGAAACCUCCUCGUAUCCGUGAGCACAUGGAUUCAAACCCUGGCCUCG